AGAGUUUGAUCCUGGCUCAGGACGAACGCUGGCGGCGUGCCUAAUACAUGCAAGUAGAACGCUGAAGAGAGGAGCUUGCUCUCUUUGGAUGAGUUGCGAACGGGUGAGUAACGCGUAGGUAACCUGCCUGGUAGCGGGGGAUAACUAUUGGAAACGAUAGCUAAUACCGCAUAAUAGUAGAUGUUGCAUGACAUUUGCUUAAAAGGUGCAAUUGCAUCACUACCAGAUGGACCUGCGUUGUAUUAGCUAGUUGGUGGGGUAACGGCUCACCAAGGCGACGAUACAUAGCCGACCUGAGAGGGUGAUCGGCCACACUGGGACUGAGACACGGCCCAGACUCCUACGGGAGGCAGCAGUAGGGAAUCUUCGGCAAUGGACGGAAGUCUGACCGAGCAACGCCGCGUGAGUGAAGAAGGUUUUCGGAUCGUAAAGCUCUGUUGUAAGAGAAGAACGAGUGUGAGAGUGGAAAGUUCACACUGUGACGGUAUCUUACC
rnacentral:rRNA from 1 species